rnacentral:rRNA from 1 species
AUACGGAGGAUCCGAGUGUUAUCCGGAUUUAUUGGGUUUAAAGGGUGCGCAGGCGGAAGAUUAAGUCGGCGGUGAAAUUUUGCAGCUCAACUGUAAAAGUGCCUUCGAAACUGGUUUUCUUGAGUGUAGAUGAAGUAGGCGGAAUUUGUGGUGUAGCGGUGAAAUGCUUAGAUAUCACAAAGAACUCCGAUUGCGCAGGCAGCUUACUAAACUACAACUGACACUGAAGCACGAAAGCGUGGGGAUC